CUACGGGCCGCACCAGUCGAGAAUCUUCCGCAAUGGGCGAAAGCCUGACGGAGCAAUGCCGCGUGCAGGAUGAAGGCCUUCGGGUCGUAAACUGCUGUCACCGGGGAUGAAUAAUGACAGUACCCGGGGAGGAAGUCACGGCUAACUACGUGCCAGCAGCCGCGGUAAUGCGUAGGUGACAAGCGUUGUUCGGAUUUAUUGGGCGUAAAGGGUUCGUAGGAUGUUGAUUAAGAUUGGUGUGAAAUCCCAAGGCCCAACCUUGGAACUGCAUUGAUUACUGAUGAACUAGAGUGUCGUAGAGGAAAGCGGAAUUCCAGGUGUAGCGGUGGAAUGCGUAGAUAUCUGGAAGAACACCGACAGCGAAGGCAGCUUUCUGGGCGAUAACUGACUCUGAGGAACGAAAGCAUGGGGAGCAAACAGGAUUAGAUACCCUGGUAGUC
rnacentral:rRNA from 1 species